UACUCCUCAAUAAGGAGCUGAGCACAAGC
rnacentral:sRNA from 1 species